UACGGAGGGUGCGAGCGUUGUCCGGAAUCAUUGGGCGUAAAGGGCUCGUAGGCGGCUAACUAAGUCAGACGUGAAAUCCCCAGGCUUAACCUGGGAACUGCGUCUGAUACUGGAUGGCUUGAAUCCGGGAGAGGGAUGCAGAAUUCCAGGUGUAGCGGUGAAAUGCGUAGAUAUCUGGAGGAAUACCGGUGGCGAAGGCGGCAUCCUGGACCGGCAUUGACGCUGAGGAGCGAAAGCUAGGGGAGCAAACGGG
rnacentral:rRNA from 1 species